ncrna:unclassified sequences Staphylococcus-1 RNA
UUAAUGAAACUGACCGCUUUCAAAGAAAGCCGACUAACUAAUCUUCUGUAAUGCUAUUUAUGAGGAUUGCCCUUUGAGGUUUAUAGCAAUAGGCCACCCUAUGGUUAGUCAAUGAUUUUGUUGA